UCGCAGAACCAGCCUGUCUCGUCUUGACUUGUAAUUCCAUGACGUCACACCACACACUGAUCACUUGUGAGCCGACUUGCCCUACAGGAUACUACGCUGAGCCUCUGGUAGCGACUCCUAUCGUCUCAUGAUGUCUAGAUCACGUCUUGCCUCUAUGGAAGUGCAUAAAUUGUCAACAAAUAGUGACUGCGGCUGGAGGGCAAGUAGUUUUACACCAAGACAUAUGCAAGUGCAGGGGAAUAUGAAUAAUCUCAUCUCUGCCCUAUUGGUUACAUAAAGCACCGCUGCAAUACAAGAUGGGUCGUUGUAAUUGUAUACUUAAAGUGAUACUAAAUUAUACCAAUUUUCAGUG